rnacentral:rRNA from 1 species
AUUGAACGCUGGCGGCAGGCCUAACACAUGCAAGUCGAGCGGAGCGGCGGACGGGGGAGUAAUGACUAGGAAUCUGCCUGGUAGUGGGGGAUAACGGCCGGAAACGGGCGGUAAUACCGCAUACUAUCAGAUGAGACUAGGUGGGAUUAGCAAGUUGGUGGGGUAAAGGCCUACCAAGGCGACGAUCCGUAACUGGUCUGAGAGGAUGACCAGUCACACUGGAACUGAGACACGGUCCAGACUCCUACGGGAGGCAGCAGUGGGGAAUAUUGGACAAUGGGCGCAAGCCUGAUUCAGCCAUGCCGCGUGUGUGAAGAAGGUCUUCGGGUUGUAAAGCACUUUAAGCUGGGAGGCGUUACCCACAGAAUAAGCACCGGCUAACUUCGUGCCAGCAGCCGCGGUAAUUC